AAAACAUUAAUAAAAAUUUAAUUACAUGUAUAUGUAACUUCUAAACUAAUAAAUAUGUUUAUUUAACUUGUUUCGAUUUUUUUUUUUUUUGCGAUUUUCCCAUAUAAAGAGCAAACACUAGAUUUAUACCAGCAUUUAUAGACCAUAUUAUAGGACUUCUCCAUUCGACCAAAGAGGCUAAUGCUGCCCCUGGAAUUACUCCCAUCUAACUUAUACCUGAAGAGAGAGACAAUGCUAACGACCGAAUAUGCAUGAAGAGUAGAUGCCUAAGAAAAUAUAUAAUUAUAUUAAUAUUAAAUAUGUCUUUUCAAUUUUUAGUAAAUACAUGUGCGUNN
rnacentral:lncRNA from 1 species